AGUGAACGCUGGCGGUAGGCCUAACACAUGCAAGUCGAACGGCAGCACAGUAAGAGCUUGCUCUUACGGGUGGCGAGUGGCGGACGGGUGAGGAAUACAUCGGAAUCUACUUUUUCGUGGGGGAUAACGUAGGGAAACUUACGCUAAUACCGCAUACGACCUACGGGUGAAAGCAGGGGAUCUUCGGACCUUACGCGAUUGAAUGAGCCGAUGUCGGAUUAGCUAGUUGGCGGGGUAAAGGCCCACCAAGGCGACGAUCCGUAGCUGGUCUGAGAGGAUGAUCAGCCACACUGGAACUGAGACACGGUCCAGACUCCUACGGGAGGCAGCAGUGGGGAAUAUUGGGCAAUGGGCGCAAGCCUGAUCCAGCCAUACCGCGUGGGUGAAGAAGGCCUUCGGGUUGUAAAGCCCUUUUGUUGGGAAAGAAAAGCAGCAGGUUAAUACCCCGCUGUUCUGACGGUACCCAAAGAAUAAGCACCGGCUAACUUCGUG
rnacentral:rRNA from 1 species